rnacentral:rRNA from 1 species
UACAGAGGGGGGCAAGCGUUGUUCGGAAUUACUGGGCGUAAAGGGCGCGUAGGCGGCCUUCUAAGUCGAACGUGAAAUCCCCGGGCUCAACCCGGGAACUGCGUCCGAUACUGGAAGGCUUGAAUCCGGGAGAGGGAUGCGGAAUUCCAGGUGUAGCGGUGAAAUGCGUAGAUAUCUGGAGGAACACCGGUGGCGAAGGCGGGUCUGCUGGGCAACAACUGACGGCUGAGGCACGAAAGCCAGGGGAGCGAACGGGG